GGUUACAGCCAUACCGCCCCAAACACACCUCAUUCCAUAGGAUCUCAGAAGCUAAGCAGGACCAGGCCUGGUUAGUAUUUGAGUGGGAGAACACCUGAGAAUGCUGGGUGCUGAAUCCA
rnacentral:rRNA from 1 species